rnacentral:lncRNA from 1 species
UGCCUGCCCAAACAUUGGUUCUACUUGUGUGUGUGGUUUUUUUUUUUUUUUUUUAUUUUUUGUGUUUUUUUUUGUUUUUGUUUUUUUUUGUCUGUCUCCCCUUUUCCUUUCCCUUAAACCGUCUUGAAAUGGAGUUUGUUGAAGAUAAGGAUUUGUCAUUUGCUAUAUGAGUCUGGUCAAGUGAAACUUCUGAUAAUUUUAAGGAAGUGACUCAAAGUUUUUAGUUGGGGUUUUCCUCACCUGUGAAGACCUAUGUUUACUUAAAAAAAACAAAGAAAAGUAAGCCUUGAUUUCCUGUGAGAUUGACAGAAGGAAGAUUGAUGGAGAUAAAUGACCCAGAAGGAAGUCCUCUUGUCUGAUAUAAAACUCUAGCAAGAAUGAGAAGCCUGACAUGGGUAAUGAUAUUUACAUAUAUGCAUUGAUUUAUAGUAUUUUUUUUUUUCUGGAACGCAUGUACAUUUCCUAGUUGUUCUUGAGUGAGGAUGACAGACCUCCUGGAAAUUUGUGAUUGAAUUUGGACCCAGUUAGGGAAGCUCUGUUACCUACCAAAAAAUUUUAGGGCGAAGAAGGAAUUUCUCUUUGUUGUGGGAAAGACAUGCAGGAGAUAAAAAACAAGAAUAGAAAAAUUCAUGGGAACCAAGCAUGGAGGGCCAACUAUCUGGGCAACUGGAAUGGAAUUGUGGUCACUGAGGCUCCUGGAAAUGACUGCUGCGCCCCUGUGGAUGCUACUUUUCCCCACAACAGUUGAGACUGCAAAAAAAGAUGUUCUCUUAAUUGACUCACAUUUCUAAAAUUCCUUCUUGGUCCAAAAUGAGCUACUGGGAAGAGAGACUCACCUUUCCUCCUAAGCAAGAAAUUUGAAAAACACCUUGUCAUAAGAAACCUGAGAAUCAACUCAACAUGAAGGAAAACAGAAUCUAGAGAUGGAGACAUAGCAGAUCCUAGAGUUAUUAUUUGAAUUUCUGGAACAAGCACUAUCUGAAGCCAUUAUCAUUUGUCCUUUUCAAUUACUCAAGCCAAUAAACUUCUCUUAUUUCUGUUUGAUUUUAGCAGAGUUUAUUUUUCUUUGUUUGUCAAAUAAGGUGGAUAUGGAAAUUUGAAAUUAACUCUUUUGGAAAAUUCAAGUGGUGGAUUCUUC